GUUCUGCAGAGAGGACAAGGAGAAUAAGGACUGAGAAUAGUCCAUCAGAUUUGUUGGAUAUGAAAUUCCUGGUGACUUUCCAGACAUGAUUUCACGGAGGAUGAAAGAGCCUCAAAAAAUGAGUCCAAAUAACAGUGUACCAUGAAAAAGUUAUCCUGUGUUCUGGAUUAAUGGCUUGUUAAACUCACUGAGAGUUGGUUUAGGUAAAAUACUGUGCAAGUUUCUAUAUGUCAAAGAAAAAUUGCACCAGACAGAGUUAAGCCGUCAAGAAAGACUUUAUUCAAGACUAUUGCAAUAGAGGAGAGAGAUAGAACUCAACUUUCUUAAAACAAAAGAAGAAUCAUCAUGCCAACCAGCAACUGCAGAAGAACUGAAUCCAAAGAAUGCCUGAUUGUAGCAGGAUGUUAAACCAAAUGCACCAGACCUGUGGCUUAUUAAGAAAAAAGCUGAUAUUGAGUCAUCCUUUGGUGGCUGUUGCAUACUGUAUUUUGAGUCCAUAUCUGAGUACUUUCUUUACAUAUUUCUCUGAAUUGAGCUUUGAGAUGUGAAGACAGAAACAAUAAGAUGAAGAUGAAGGAUCACUGGUCCAGAAACAUGGUUCUUCAUAAUUUAUUUCUACUUACUGUAGAAACUUUAA